AGUGAACGCUGGCGGCGUGCUUAACACAUGCAAGUCGAACGAGAACGGAUUAUAGCUUGCUAUAAUUGUCAGCUAAGUGGCGCACGGGUGAGUAAUGUAUAGGUAAUAUGCCUCUUACUAAGGGAUAACAAAUGGAAACGUUUGCUAAUACCUUAUACUCCUUAUUAACAGCAGUUAAUAAGGGAAAGAUUUAUUGGUAAGAGAUUAGCCUGUAUUGUAUCAGUUAGUUGGUGGGGUAAUGGCUUACCAAGACUAUGACACAUAACUGGUUUGAGAGGAUGAUCAGUCACACUGGAACUGAGACACGGUCCAGACUCUUACGGGAGGCAGCAGUGGGGAAUAUUGCACAAUGGACGAAAGUCUGAUGCAGCAACGCCGCGUGGAGGAUGACACAUUUCGGUGCGUAAACUCCUUUUAUAUGAGAAGAUAAUGACGGUAUUAUAUGAAUAAGCACCGGCUAACUCCGUGCCAGCCGCCGCGGUAA
rnacentral:rRNA from 1 species